UUAAAAUGAGAGGAUGAGAGCAUGAAAUAGUGGCCAUUGGAUUAAAUAGAUGGUUGUUAUUAAAUGUUAGCUUUGAAUGACUCACGUGACAUCUCUUCUCACCUUUCUAACAUACGAUUCUUCUUCUCACAUAAACGUUUCUUCUCACCUUUCUGAGUUCUCACUCCUCUUGUCACACAAACACAAGAUUCUUUCUGUCACACAAAUUUGAUAAUCAGAAUUUGUUAAUCCUCUUCUUCCUUUCGAACCAACGAUUAUAUAUUAUGGUACACUUUGCAAGGAAAAUUGAAAAGGCACUUUGGUUGGAAAAUUUGAGUUACUGUUAUGUCUAGACAACAAGAAAAGAAGAAGAAGAAGAAGAAGAAGAAGAAAGAAUUUUCAUUUAGAAUAUGCAUACAUGUAGAUACUGUAUAUACAAAUUUUGCAUUGGUUGUAUAUACAAAUUUGAGUUUUGAUUUUGGUGGAGAGGAGCCCUUUGUUUUAAAGCCCUCCUUAAUUGUACUUUUUUUACAACAUCAAAUGUAAUUUCUAUUUUGUGGUAAUUCAAUUCACAUUUGUAUUGUAAAGCAAAUUAUAUACUAUAUGAAAUUGGUAUUCAUUGUUGGUUA